AGAUUGAACGCUGGCGGCAGGCCUAACACAUGCAAGUCGAGCGGUAGAGAGGUGCUUGCACCUCUUGAGAGCGGCGGACGGGUGAGUAAUGCCUAGGAAUCUGCCUAGUGGUGGGGGAUAACGUUCGGAAACGGACGCUAAUACCGCAUACGUCCUACGGGAGAAAGCGGGGGACCUUCGGGCCUCGCGCCAUUAGAUGAGCCUAGGUCGGAUUAGCUAGUUGGUGAGGUAAUGGCUCACCAAGGCGACGAUCCGUAACUGGUCUGAGAGGAUGAUCAGUCACACUGGAACUGAGACACGGUCCAGACUCCUACGGGAGCAGCAGUGGGAAUAUUGGACAAUGGGCGAAAGCCUGAUCCAGCCAUGCCGCGUGUGUGAAGAAGGUCUUCGGAUUGUAAAGCACUUUAGUGUUGGGAGAAGGCAAGUUACCUAAUACGUAUCUGUUUUGACGUUACGACAGAAUAAGCACGCUAACUCUGUGCAGCACG
rnacentral:rRNA from 1 species